GAAUAUUGCGCAAUGGGCGAAAGCCUGACGCAGCGACGCCGCGUGUGGGAUGACGGCCUUCGGGUUGUAAACCACUGUCGGGAGGGACGAAGUUCUGACGGUACCUCCAAAGGAAGCACCGGCUAACUCUGUGCCAGCAGCCGCGGUAAUACAGAGGGUGCGAGCGUUGUCCGGAAUCACUGGGCGUAAAGGGCGCGUAGGCGGCCUGAUAAGUCGGGGGUGAAACGCUGCGGCUCAACCGCAGCACUGCCUUCGAGACUGUCGGGCUUGAGCACGGUAGAGGCUGGUGGAAUUCCCGGUGUAGCGGUGGAAUGCGUAGAGAUCGGGAAGAACAUCGGUGGCGAAGGCGGCCAGCUGGGCCGUUGCUGACGCUGAGGCGCGACAGCGUGGGGAGCAAACAG
rnacentral:rRNA from 1 species